AGAGCCUGAUUGUGGAAAGAAGUGAGAUGCACCUUAUUUUCAAGAAGUCCUGUGAAGCGCUCUCCUAGCACGUCCAUUUCCAGGAGGAGAAGCAAGCAGAUGAGAGGUUUUCCAUUUUGUCAUCCAAGCCUGUCUUCUGAGUAAUGGGCAGAGAAGGACCAGGGUUCGUAGAAGAAGCAUGUGGCAGCUGAGUGGCAGCAGUCUUGCCCUUUCAUUUUAAUACUUGAGGACACAGAAAAUAGAAUUUUUGAGUGACGCUGCCUGUGGAUAUAUAUACUCAUACAUACAUAUAUAUAUAUACACACACACACAUAUGUAUGUAUGUAUGUAUUACUAUUCAAUCUCUUAAAAACCAAAAAACAGUAGAUCCCCUGAGGGUAGAGUCUUUAUGUAUGAACAUAUUGUUCACUGUUGUAACCACCUUGCAGGAUUUCAGUCUAUAAACUAGGUGAGAGUCCA
rnacentral:sRNA from 1 species